rnacentral:lncRNA from 1 species
ACGGCUCCCCUCAGAACUCGGCCCGUCGAGGGAGCUGAGAGCAGCUCCACUGGCCCGACCCCGCGGGAUGAGAAGACAGCUUGGCUCCCCGCAGGGGCCGUCGGAAAAUACCCCUGGGGUUGGUCUGCGACCAUGACGAGCGACCCUAUUGGCCCAAUACCGGGAAGCGAGGCGGAGCUUCCUCUUCUCCGAGCCCCACCUGGGCUUUCAGCCCGCCUCAGGACUGUGCGCCUGCGCGAAGUGCACUGGCUGUGAGCUGGACCUGGGCUGUCUUGUGUAUUUGGAGUUGGACAGCCAACUACGUGACUGCAGCCGGGACUGGGGA